UUAAGUUAGAAAGGGCGCACGGUGGAUGCCUUGGCACUAGGAGCCAAUGAAGGACGGGACGAACACCGAUAUGCUUCGGGGAGCUGUAAGCAAGCUUUGAUCCGGAGAUUUCCAAAUGGGGAAACCCACCACUCGUAAUGGAGUGGUAUCCAUAUCUGAAUACAUAGGAUAUGAGAAGGCAAACCCGGGAAACUGAAACAUCUAAGUACCCGGAGGAAGAGAAAGCAAAUGCAAUUCCCUGAGUAGCGGCAAGCGAAACGGGACCAGCCCAAACCAAAAGGCUUGCCUCUUGGGGUUGUAGGACACUCUGUACGGAGUUACAAAGGAACGAGGUAAAUGAAAAGGUCUGGAAAGGCCCGCCAUAGGAGGUAACAGCCCUGUAGUCAAAACUUCGUUCUCUCCUGAGUGGAUCCUGAGUACGGCGGAACACGUGAAAUUCCGUCGGAAUCCGGAAGGACCAUCUCCCAAGGUUAAAUACUCCCUAGUGACCGAUAGUGAACCAGUACCGUGAGGGAAAGGUGAAAAGCACCCCGGAAGGGAAGUGAAAAAGAUCCUGAAACCGUGUGCCUACAAGUAGUCAAAGCCCGUUAACGGGUGAUGGCGUGCCUUUUGUAGAAUGAACCGGCGAGUUACGAUCCCGUGCAAGGUUAAGCAGAAGAUGCGGAGCCGCAGCGAAAGCGAGUCUGAAUAGGGCGAAUUGAGUACGUGGUCGUAGACCCGAAACCAGGUGAUCUACCCAUGUCCAGGGUGAAGUUCAGGUAACACUGAAUGGAGGCCCGAACCCACGCACGUUGAAAAGUGCGGGGAUGAGGUGUGGGUAGGGGUGAAAUGCCAAUCGAACCUGGAGAUAGCUGGUUCUCUCCGAAAUAGCUUUAGGGCUAGCCUCAAGGUAAGAGUCUCGGAGGUAGAGCACUGAUUGGACUAGGGGCCCCUACCGGGUUACCGAAUUCAGUCAAACUCCGAAUGCCGAUGACUUAUCCUUGGGAGUCAGACUGCGAGUGAUAAGAUCCGUAGUCGAAAGGGAAACAGCCCAGACCGCCAGCUAAGGUCCCAAAGUAUACGUUAAGUGGAAAAGGAUGUGGAGUUGCUUAGACAACCAGGAUGUUGGCUUAGAAGCAGCCACCAUUUAAAGAGUGCGUAAUAGCUCACUGGUCGAGUGACUCUGCGCCGAAAAUGUACCGGGGCUAAACGUAUCACCGAAGCUGCGGACUGUUCUUCGAACAGUGGUAGGAGAGCGUUCUAAGGGCUGUGAAGCAAGACCGGAAGGACUUGUGGAGCGCUUAGAAGUGAGAAUGCCGGUAUGAGUAGCGAAAGAGGGGUGAGAAUCCCCUCCACCGAAUGCCUAAGGUUUCCUGAGGAAGGCUCGUCCGCUCAGGGUUAGUCGGGACCUAAGCCGAGGCCGAAAGGCGUAGGCGAUGGAUAACAGGUUGAUAUUCCUGUACCACCUCCUCACCAUUUGAGCAAUGGGGGGACGCAGGAGGAUAGGGUAAGCGCGGUAUUGGAUAUCCGCGUCCAAGCAGUUAGGCUGGGAAAUAGGCAAAUCCGUUUCCCGUGAAGGCUGAGCUGUGAUGGCGAGCGAAUUAUAGUAGCGAAGUUCCUGAUUCCACACUGCCAAGAAAAGCCUCUAGCGAGGUGAGAGGUGCCCGUACCGCAAACCGACACAGGUAGGCGAGGAGAGAAUCCUAAGGUGAUCGAGAGAACUCUCGUUAAGGAACUCGGCAAAAUGACCCCGUAACUUCGGGAGAAGGGGUGCUCUGUUAGGGUGCAAGCCCGAGAGAGCCGCAGUGAAUAGGCCCAGGCGACUGUUUAGCAAAAACACAGGUCUCUGCGAAGCCGUAAGGCGAAGUAUAGGGGCUGACGCCUGCCCGGUGCUGGAAGGUUAAGAGGAGCGCUUAGCGUAAGCGAAGGUGCGAAUUGAAGCCCCAGUAAACGGCGGCCGUAACUAUAACGGUCCUAAGGUAGCGAAAUUCCUUGUCGGGUAAGUUCCGACCCGCACGAAAGGCGCAACGAUCUGGGCACUGUCUCAACGAGAGACUCGGUGAAAUUAUAGUACCUGUGAAGAUGCAGGUUACCCGCGACAGGACGGAAAGACCCCGUGGAGCUUUACUGCAGCCUGAUAUUGAAUGUUGGUACAGCUUGUACAGGAUAGGUAGGAGCCUUGGAAACCGGAGCGCCAGCUUCGGUGGAGGCAUCGGUGGGAUACUACCCUGGCUGUAUUGACCUUCUAACCCGCCGCCCUUAUCGGGCGGGGAGACAGUGUCAGGUGGGCAGUUUGACUGGGGCGGUCGCCUCCUAAAAGGUAACGGAGGCGCCCAAAGGUUCCCUCAGAAUGGUUGGAAAUCAUUCGCAGAGUGUAAAGGCACAAGGGAGCUUGACUGCGAGACCUACAAGUCGAGCAGGGACGAAAGUCGGGCUUAGUGAUCCGGUGGUUCCGCAUGGAAGGGCCAUCGCUCAACGGAUAAAAGCUACCCCGGGGAUAACAGGCUUAUCUCCCCCAAGAGUCCACAUCGACGGGGAGGUUUGGCACCUCGAUGUCGGCUCAUCGCAUCCUGGGGCUGUAGUCGGUCCCAAGGGUUGGGCUGUUCGCCCAUUAAAGCGGUACGCGAGCUGGGUUCAGAACGUCGUGAGACAGUUCGGUCCCUAUCCGUCGCGGGCGCAGGAAAUUUGAGAGGAGCUGUCCUUAGUACGAGAGGACCGGGAUGGACGCACCGCUGGUGUACCAGUUGUUCUGCCAAGGGCAUCGCUGGGUAGCUAUGUGCGGACGGGAUAAGUGCUGAAAGCAUCUAAGCAUGAAGCCCCCCUCAAGAUGAGAUUUCCCAUUCCGCAAGGAAGUAAGAUCCCUGAAAGAUGAUCAGGUUGAUAGGUCUGAGGUGGAAGUGUGGCGACACAUGGAGCUGACAGAUACUAAUCGAUCGAGGACUUAACCAA
rnacentral:rRNA from 1 species